rnacentral:rRNA from 1 species
UACGGAGGGUGCAAGCGUUAUCCGGAUUUAUUGGGUUUAAAGGGUGCGUAGGCGGUAUUAUAAGUCAGUGGUGAAAUGUUGCAGCUUAACUGUAAAAUUGCCAUUGAAACUGCAGUACUUGAGUUAUCUUGAAGUAGGCGGAAUGUGUAGUGUAGCGGUGAAAUGCUUAGAUAUUACACAGAACACCGAUUGCGAAGGCAGCUUACUAAGGGUAUACUGACGCUGAGGCACGAAAGCGUGGGGAUCGAACAGG